UGGGGAUGACGUCAAGUCCUCAUGGCCCUUAUGGUAGGGCUUCACACGUCAUACAAUGGUCGGUACAGAGGGUUGCCAACCCGCGAGGGGGAGCUAAUCCCACCAAAGCCGAUCGUAGUCCGGAUCGCAGUCUGCAACUCGACUGCGUGAAGUCGGAAUCGCUAGUAACCGUGGAUCAGCAUGUCACGGUGAAUACGUUCCCGGGUCUU
rnacentral:rRNA from 1 species